UACAGAGGUCUCAAGCGUUGUUCGGAUUCAUUGGGCGUAAAGGGUGCGUAGGCGGCGCGGUAAGUCGGGUGUGAAAUCUCGGAGCUUAACUCCGAAACUGCAUUCGAUACUGCCGUGCUUGAGGACUGGAGAGGAGACUGGAAUUUACGGUGUAGCGGUGAAAUGCGUAGAUAUCGUAAGGAACACCAAUGGCGAAGGCAGCUCGCUGGGACGGUACUGACGCUGAGACGCGAAAGCGUGGGGAGCAAACAGG
rnacentral:rRNA from 1 species